rnacentral:rRNA from 1 species
UACGUAGGGUGCGAGCGUUUGUCCGGAAUUACUGGGCGUAAAGAGCUCGUAGGUGGUUUGUCGCGUUGUUCGUGAAAACUCACAGCUUAACUGUGGGCGUGCGGGCGAUACGGGCAGACUGGAGUACUGCAGGGGAGACUGGAAUUCCUGGUGUAGCGGUGGAAUGCGCAGAUAUCAGGAGGAACACCGGUGGCGAAGGCGGGUCUCUGGACAGUUCCUGACGGCUGAGGCACGGAAGGCCCAGGGGGAGCAAAACGGGG